AGCUGAUGGCAGCUCUUUCCAAAAAUGGUUAUGCUGCUCCCGCUAUUGAUUUAUGUAUUAUUGCUCAGUGGGACCUGUUUCCUUGGUGCCACGGGUGAUGCUUGUUGGCAUGUGAUGCAGAUUACUUUCAUAACGUUUUUUUUUUGGGUUUAGCCAGUGUGCAUGUCCGAACAAUUCUCUUGUCUUGUGGAUCGUAUGUAUGUCCUGCCAUGGAAGCCUUCUUGUCCCCAUGAUGACCUUGCACAUAUCUUGCAAUUUCAUUGAAGUCGUAAAGAACAGAGAACAGGUGGCUAUCACUCUUAUCUGAUAUGCAUUCUGGGAAGAGGAGGAUCACCAGUUUUGGCCCCCGUGUGUAUAAGAACUACGAUCCUCGUGCUAAAGUCAUCCGGAAUUAGGCAGAGGAGGUUUUCCCAAUUGUGGGUCGGGAUCCACUUAUUGAGUCGUCUGUCAUGCCUUGCACUCCCAUGCAUACCCGCUAUGGUGGCUAUGUGCUACACUCAUCAAGAACACGAAGCUCUGCCUGACAACGGGCACGCUGAUCUGGACCAUUACGUUCAUAUGCACUCUGCCCAACAAUGCAAAUUCCAUCAGAAGACUAGCCACAAACUACGUCCUGUACCAGCUCCUUCCUCCGGCUAUGCUCACCCUUGCCGGCGCAAUCAAACUCACCCUCGACUUCGCUAAGCGCCAUGUGGUGGCUGCCUGCUCCUACAUCAGACGUUGUGCCCUCAAGAACUUGACCAGCGGUAAUAGGCCCGCAUGGUCGUCCUUGUCAUCACAGAUUCCGAUUCAUGCGCGGCAAAGAGGCCUCCUCCGCAGGCUUCGGCAACAAGAAGGCUGCAGCUUUUGAAGCCAUGCCCUGCAACACAAUGCAGGCUAAAUAGCUUAUCGUUUCUGCAGCGGUGUGCGCUCGCCUGUGAGCCGUUUCCAUUGACUAUUUCCUGUGUAUUUCGGCAGUUCUUAGCGUUGUUUCCAAAAUUUAUGUAACGGACAAGUCUAUCCCGUCCAAUUAAAACCACUGCCGAAUUCGCCGCAUCCCUUUCUUUUGCAAGAUUUCAA